rnacentral:tRNA from 1 species
GAAGGUGUAGCUCAGUGGUAGAGUGCCUGCCUAGCAUGCACGAAGUCCUGGGUUUGAUCCCCAGUACCUCCA